rnacentral:tRNA from 1 species
GCACUUAAAUUUAUCAACCAAGUUUCGGCCUUGGCUAAGGGAUUACCCUAAGUGUA